GUCCAUCGCUGCGGGUGGAAAGUCCUUUUAGCGCCGCUGCAGUACGAAUGCGUAAUAUUGGCUUAUUGGUGGUAAAAGACGAAUACGCUUACCUUCAGCGCUCCUGUCAAUUCGUCCCCGUCAAUCUGUCCCAGGAUCAACAUGGAAGAGCCUCACUGCUGCUCUCCUCUUCUCCAUCGAGUGAGAACAGCUGGCAUCGGCAUCUCCUCGUGCGUCCUCCGCAAACUGCAAGAACAGCCAUGAGAAACUAGCAAUGACAUUCACAUCCCCCUCUACAGGCCGUUGGCGCUGCUUCGUUGCGAACGCUUGCACUGUCACACGUCCCCUAUAUAGUUGCUGCCCAUUGAGAUGUCGUAAGAUCAACAAUUACACAUGAAUUAUAUGAUUCAUGCAAUACAUUGCCAAAUUUUACUGUAGAAUUCGAUCUCAAUUGAUCCAGAUUGAUUGAUUUAGUCUUUCCGGAUCGUCUGAUCUGGAUCACAAUUUUGCAAAUCAUGUUGCAACUGAACACUUGUCAGUAUUGCUUCUCUUUUUCUUUCA